GAUCAAGAACAAAUACUACCUUUCAAGGGAACAUUUACUUAUUCCUAGACCCAAUAUUUUAAGGGAUCUGUCACUUCUUUUUUUUAAUUAGGUAUUUAUUUUAUUUACAUUUCCAAUGCUAUCCCAAAAGUCCCCCACCCCCCACUCCAACUUCUUGGCCCUGGCGUUCUCCUGUACUGAGGCAGAUAAAGUUUGCACAACCAAUGGGCCUCUCUUUCCACUGAUGGUUAACCAGGCGAUCUUCUGAUCCAUAUGCAACUAGAGACACGAGCUCCGGGGGAGUACUGGGUAGUUCAUAUUGUUGUUCCACCUAAGGGUUGCAGAUCCCUUUAACUCCUUGGUUACUUUCUCUAGCUCCUCCAUUGGGGGUCCUGUGAUCCAUCCAAUAGCUGACUGUGAGCAUCCACUUCUGUGUUUGCUAGGGCCUGGCAUAGUCUCACAAGAGACAGCUAUAUCUCGGUCCUUUCAGCAAAAUCUUGCUAGUGUAUGCAAUGAUGUCAGCGUCUAGAGGCUGAUUAUGGGAUGGAUCCCUAGAUAUGGCAGUCUCUAGAUGGUCAAUCCUAUCGUCUCAGCUCCAAACUUUGUCUCUGUAACUCCUUCCAUGUGUGUUUUGUUCCCAAUUCUAAGAAGGGGCAAACUGUCUACACUUUGGUCUUCAUUCUUCUUGAGUUUCAUGUAAUUUGCUAAUUGUGACUUAUAUCUUGGGUAUUCUAAGUUUCUGGGCUAAUAUCCACUUAUCAGUGAGUACAUAUUGUGUGAGUUCUUUUGUGAUUGGGUUACCUCACUCAGGAUGAUGCCCUCCAGGUCCAUCCAUUUGCCUAGGAAUUUCAUAAAUUCAUUCCUUUUAGUAGCUGAGUAGCACUCCAUUGUGUAAAUGUACCACAUUUUCUGUAUCCAGUACUCUGUUGAGGGUCAUCUGGGUUCUUUCCAGCUUUUGGCUAUUAUAAAUAAGGCUGCUAUGAACAUAGUGGAGCAUGUGUCCUUCUUACUGGUUGGAACAUCUUCUGGAUAUAUGCCCAGGAGAGGUAUUGUGGGAUCCUCUGGUAGUACUAUGUACAAUUUUCUGAGGAACCGCCAGACUGAUUUCCAGAGUGGUUGUACAAGCUUGCAAUCCCACCAACAAUGGAGGAGUGUUCCUCUUUCUCCACAUCCACGCCAGCAUCUGCUGUCACCUGAAUUUUUGAUCUUAGCCGUUCUGACUGGUGUGAGAUGGAAUCUCAGGGUUGUUUUGAUUUGCAUUUCCCUGAUGAUUAAGGAUGUUGAACAUUUUUUCGGGUGCUUCUCAGCCACUCAGUAUUCCUCAAGUGAGAAUUCUUUGUUUAGCUCUGAGCCCCAUUUUUAAUGGGGUUAUUUGUUUUUCUGGAGUCUACUACUUCUAACAGGCUCAAUAUGAUAUGAAUCCACAAACCCACAGAUGAACCAAUACCUCCUGAAGAGCUCUAUCACCAUUAGUGGGCAUGAAGUCACCAACACAGAAGCUUUUUAUAGGUUUGCAUUUCAAAUGUUAUCCUCUUUCCCAGGAUCUUCUCCAAAAGUCCCCUAUCCUCUCCUCACUCACCCUUGCUUCUAUUAGGGUGCUCCCCAACCUGCGUACACACUCAUGCCUUGGUGGCCUCAUGUUCCCCUGUCCUGUGUCAUCAAGCCUCCAUAGGACCAAAGAGCUGCCCUCACAGUGAUGCCAGAUAAGAUAUUCCUCUGCUACAUACACAGCUGGAGCUAUGGGUACUCUUUGUUUGGUGGUUUAGUCCCUGGGAGCUUUGGGGGUUCUGGUUAGUUGGUAUUGUUUUUCUUGCUUUGAGGUUAAGUUCUUUUCUUUUCCUUCCCCAUCAGAAGGUGAAUGCAUUGUUCUAACACAGCCUUCUGUCAUGUAGGUCAAUGAAUCAUGAUCUGAAGCAAUUAAACCUGCAAAUCAAGGCAAAUAUUUCUCCAUUAAAAGAAGUUGCUCAGGUAGAGGCAGGGUGUCUCUAAAGGUGUUGCCUGACUAUGGAAUUCAUGCCCCAACAGGGCUGACUUUUCUGGUCUCAGUGGGCAAGGAUGCACCUAACUCUGCAGAGACUUAAAGCAUCAAGGUCAGAGGGAUACUCAGGGGUCCCCACCAUUUCAGAGGAAAAGGGGAGAUGUGAUUGGGAAAAAACUCUGUGAGGGGGAGAAUGGGUAGGGGCAGUGUUUGGAAUAUUAAUUAAUUAAUUCAAAAGAAAGAAAAUAAAUGUGUUUUCUUAGUGCAAAUUAAAAAGAAGUUGCUCAUCUAAACUAAUUUGUAUAUUUUCUAUAAUUUGCAUAUUUAUAUGGUAACUAAAAGGUGAUAUCUUUAUACCUGGGCACAAUGUUUAGGCUUUCGGUCUGCUAGAUACUUUUUGGGAUUGCUGGUAGAAAAACUAUAAUUUUUUUUUUUCUGCAGUGGAGUAGUUACUACCUAAAAAAUAAUUCUGUCUUAACAAGUUGUUCAUUUUCUAGUUGUUGUUGUUGUUUUUUUUCACAGAAUUAGAAAAUACUGUACUUGAUAUUGUUUUCUUACACAUCAAUGAGUAUUUCAAUGAGUAUUUCUAGAUGGCCUGCCAGCUUCACCACUAUGUAUCCAUUGUGUAUGUGCAGGGGAGGUUGGUUUGAGGAUAGAAGCUAGGACCUCAUAUUUACUAGUCAAUGUAUCUCCACUGAGUAUCUUAUCUCUUUACCCCAGCUGUCAUACCUAUUUUUCCUUAGGUUAUCCACAAUAACAGCAUUUCACAUUUUCCCUAAAUGUUACUAGUCAGGUAGGGUCCGGAGGUCUCCAAAUAGACACUGCAUAGUGCCAUUGACCUUUGUUACCUACCAUCAUUGCAUGGAAAAAUCCUAUUGCUAAAGAAAGAACAUAUAUUUGGUGCAGAAUAUAAAGAAAUCAACCUCAAAUUGACCAGGAGCCUUCCUUCCUUCCUGAUGGCCAGCUUUCAUAGCACAGAAGACUUUUGCAUGAUAUGGACAGACACACUGUUUUUCCUCAUAUGCUUGUACCUCUUCUAUCUCUAGGUAUGGACAGUGCAUUGUGACUUUCUUCCUCCAGAUUUUCCCUUUAUUCUUUCCUUAUUAUUUUAUUUACCUUUCAAAUGUUGUCCCCAAACCCAGACCCUUGUCCAUGAGCCCCCUACUCCUCUAACCUUCCCUUCAUCUCUAACAGGAUGCUCCCCC
rnacentral:lncRNA from 1 species